rnacentral:rRNA from 1 species
UACGUAGGGGGCUAGCGUUGUCCGGAAUCAUUGGGCGUAAAGCGCGUGUAGGCGGCUCGGUAAGUCCGCUCUGAAAGCCCGGGGCUCAACCCCGGGAGGCGGGUGGAUACUGCCGGGCUAGAGUCCGGAAGAGGCGAGUGGAAUUCCUGGUGUAGCGGUGAAAUGCGCAGAUAUCAGGAGGAACACCGGUGGCGAAGGCGGAUCUCUGGGCCUUACCUGACGCUCAGGCGCGAAAGCUAGGGGAGCGAACAGG